rnacentral:rRNA from 1 species
AUGUUACUCCAGAUGCAAGUUUCUUGCAUGAAGCUGACUGUUGUUUAUUAUUUUUCUUCAUGCCAUAUUUCUUUGAGAUCUCCAAAUUAUCCCAGACUUGCUUCAUACUUUGGUGCCAUCUGCAUUACUGCAUAUACUAUUCACUAUUCAGACUGGCUCUGGAGCAAACUGCGUAGCAAGAUCAAUAAUGAAUGGUUCAAGUCAUGUAUUACAAGUUACAAUGAGCAGGAGGUAGUCAAGUCAGUUGAUGAUAAGGAUAUUAUUCGAACAUUUACUGCAAUGACGUCUCGGAAAGGGCAUUUGCCUUGUGAUUGUCUUUAG